rnacentral:rRNA from 1 species
GCCAGCAGCUAUAUCACUCUGCAACUCACAACCAACAGCCCACUGCAGCUCAGCAGGUGUGAGCCUGGUCAGUACCCGGAGGGGAGACCUCCUGGGGAAAACUAAGGUUGCUGCUGGAA